CCCUUAGAUGUUCUGGGCUGCACGCGCGCUACACUGAAGCUAUCAACACGUUUUCCCUCCCUGAGAAGGGCGGGUAACCUUUUGAAUCAGCUUCGUGGUAGGGAUCGGGGCUUGCAAUUGUUCCCCGUGAACCAGGAAUUCCUAGUAGACGCGAGUCAUAAGCUCGCAUCGAUUAAGUCCCUGCCCUUUGUACACACCGCCCGUCGCUACUACCGAUUGAACGUUUUAGUGAGGCAUUUGGACCGCCGCAUCUCAGUUUAACCGCUGGUUUGUGUUGGAAAGACUUCCAAACUUGAGCGUUUAGAGGAAGUAAAAGUCGUAACA
rnacentral:rRNA from 1 species